AUUGAACGCUGGCGGCAGGCCUAACACAUGCAAGUCGAGCGGAGCGGCAGCCGGGUGCGGAAUGCCAAGGAAUCUGCCUGGUCGUGGGGGAUAACGUUCGGAAACGGGCGCUGAAACUGCUUACGAUUGCAUGAGCCGAUGUCGGAUUAGCUAGUUGGGGGGGUAAAGGCCUACCAAGGCGACGACCCGUAGCUGGUCUGAGAGGAUGAUCAGUCACACUGGAACUGAGACACGGUCCAGACUCCUACGGUAGGCAGCAGUGGGGAAUAUUGGACAAUGGGCGAAAGCCUGAUCCAGCCAUGCCGCGUGUGUGAAGAAGGUCUUCGGAUUGUAAAGCACUUUAAGUUGGGAGGCGUUACCAACAGAAUAAGCACCGGCUAACUUCGUGCCAGCAGCCGCGGUAAUUC
rnacentral:rRNA from 1 species